rnacentral:rRNA from 1 species
AUUGAACGCUGGCGGCAUGCCUUACACAUGCAAGUCGAACGGCAGCACGGGAGCAAUCCUGGUGGCGAGUGGCGAACGGGUGAGUAAUAUAUCGGAACGUGCCCAGUCGUGGGGGAUAACGUAGCGAAAGUUACGCUAAUACCGCAUACGAUCUAAGGAUGAAAGCGGGGGAUCGCAAGACCUCGCGCGAUUGGAGCGGCCGAUAUCAGAUUAGGUAGUUGGUGAGGUAAAGGCUCACCAAGCCAACGAUCUGUAGCUGGUCUGAGAGGACGACCAGCCACACUGGAACUGAGACACGGUCCAGACUCCUACGGGAGGCAGCAGUGGGGAAUUUUGGACAAUGGACGCAAGUCUGAUCCAGCCAUUCCGCGUGCAGGAUGAAGGCCUCGGGUUGUAACUAGCUUUGUACGGUAACGAAACGGUAGAGCUC